UCUAUUUCCAGCUAAAUUCUGAUUCGGGAUACAACAGCCUAAAAGAUAAAGUUCAUGAGAAAGAAUAAGGCGAAGAUAAUAAAUUCAAGUUGCCACGGCACCGAAAAUCUGAUUCGUCGGAAUACAUGUAUUCCAGUAGAAGUACAAGACAACAGCCUGGUGCUGACUCGGGAUUAAUAAGCUUACAAGAUGACGUUCAUGGGGAACAAUUCGGCGAAGAAAUU